CCUUCCCCAGCUUCGGGGCCACAGAGGGAGAGAAACCGGGGGCAGGUUGGUCUGGGAAUGAACCUACACCAGCCUGCAGUCAGAAGAGCCUCCAGGAGCCUCCAGCCUGGACUCUUUUUACAGAUGGGGAAACUGAGUCCCAGAGAGGGAGCAAUAAAGGAUGUCUAAGGUCAUCAGCAACUUAAAGCCAACAGCAUCAUCCUGAGUCAUAUUUGAACCUGAGGGAAAGAAACAUAUGUUCGAAGAGAUUCUGAGGCUGCUGCACCCGAUAUCAUACCUGGUUGGCCCUGGGAAAGGGCCCGCCUCCAAUACAUAAACACAACCAGCUUUGACAAUGAGCCCUGAAGCACGGCAUUGAGAAGCCGCCUAAGAAGGAGGCAGGUCCAUCAGCCUUGGUGCCCGACUGAUUACCCUGAGCAGAGCUCCCCAGCCCACCUGUGAUGGACACAUGGAGCUUGAGCAAGGAAUAAAUUUUUGUUGCUUUUCCAUCCAGCUGUUUGGCAUUGGAUACUGCUACCUCUGCUUGACUUGAGAGUGUGUGAGAAAAGCUGUGUUUAGACAACUGAAAACCAUGAGCUUGAAAGUAGUGGGGGCUCACCCUCUUGGAGACUCCAGUUGCUCACCAGCUUGGACAAACCACUGGACUCAAAUGAUCAGGUAGAAAUUCAUCACUGGAGAGAACACAGUGGAAUGGCUUCAGCUGAAACUCACUCUGAAGGUCUUGAGGGCAACUUUAAGACUUGCCCUGGCCGGGCACGGUGGCUUAUGCCUAUAAUCCCAGCACUUUGGGAGGCCAAGGCGGGUGGAUCACCUGAGGUCAGGAGUUCAAGACCAGCCUGGCCAAUAUGGCGAAACCCUGUCUCUACUAAAAAUCAAAAAAAUUAGCCGGGCGUGGUCAUGGGUGCCUGUAAUCCCAGCAACCUGAGAGGCUGAGGCAGGAGAAUUGCCUGAACCCGGGAGGCAGAGGUUGAAGCGAGCUGAGAUUGCACCACUGCACUCCAGUCUGGGCAACAAGAGCAAAACUCCAUCUCAAAAAAAAAAAAAAAAAAAAAUACUUGCCCCGGCUUUUGGUGUGAUGGACUUUCUAUUUACAGACGUGAUAUUUAUCUAUGACUUUACUCAGAGUCUGGCUCAUAGACCAGAAGGAUUGGUAUCUCCUGGAGCUUGCAGGAAAUACAAAAUCUCAAACCCCUGUAUUAGUCAGGGUUCUCCAGAGAAGUAGAACCAAUGGGAUAGAGACAGGGAUAGGGAUGAUAGAAAUGGAGAUGAGAUGGAGAUAGAGAUAGAGAUCCAUUGAUCCCUCUGUUAAUAAAUUGGCUCAUGCAGUUGUGACAAUUUCAAAAUCUGCAAGGUAUGUCAGUAACCUGGAGACCCAGGGAAGAGUUGAUGUUGCACCUUGAAUACAAAGGCAGUGUGUCUGGAGCCAUAAUAUCUUCUUAUUAGGAAAACUUCAGUCUUUUCUCUUCUGGCCUUCAACUGCUUGGGUGAGACCCAUCCCCACUAUAGAAGAUAAUAGUCUGUUCUACUCAGAGUCUACUGAUCUAAAUGCUCAUCUCAUCCCAAAAAAUACCCUCACGGCAACAUCUACCUUGGCAUUUGACCCAACAACUGGGUACCAUGCCCCCCUCCCAAGUUGACACACAAAAUUGACCAUCAUACCCUCCCCACCCCCAAUCUUACUGAAUGAGAGAGAAUCUGUGCUUUAACAAGAUCCCCAGAAAAGGUAUAAGCUCAGGGAAGUCUGAGAAGCACCACCUUUGAGGCUUAUCCAGGAUGCCCACAUGAGCCUUCUCUGGAUAUGUCAGAUCCCCUUCCUGGGUCCCUAGACACCUCCCCCACUCCCCAAACUUGGAAGCAACAUUGUGGAGAAGCAGGCAGUGAGGCGCUCAGUCUACCACAUUGUAAGAUACACAGUCCAAUCUGUGUACCAUGAUUUGAUCCAAGGGAAAACAAAAGACCCAGAAACAUAAGUACUUUUUUGUGAGCUCUCAAAAACUUCCUGUGACAAGAUCAGGUCCUUGAUGCAAGAGCCACACUUGUUUCUUUUUCCUCUUCAUUCUCCACCCCUGACAUAAUACUUAGCAUAUAAAAAAAAUCCAAUAAACACCACUGAAUCAAU
rnacentral:lncRNA from 1 species